UGAUCCUAAAUUGGCAAGGCCAUCUCUCCAACAAAUCAGUUCUCAUCAAUCUCAUGCCUUUGAGCCAACUUCCGAGCUAAAUCCACGAUCAGGUCAUUAAAUACUUUAGCAAACAUCUUUAUGACCUCUCUAGUAACAAUUAAAAUUCAACAAAGAAAAUUGCACAAAUUAAUACAACAGUAAGCGAUUAAACCCUUUUCCUUCCCAGUCACAAUUCCCAAACAAUAAACAGGGUCCAGUGUCACCCAAUGCUCACUCCUAACUACAAUUAUAUGACAUUAGUUGUGCUUCUAAAAUAUUAUUAUUUUUUGCUAAAUAAGCCAAUUAAAAUUAUGACAAAUUUGGGAACUAGCAUCGAAUAGUUGAUUCUCUUUGCAUUUUAAACCAAGCACAAAAGACUAGGCUAAAUUAUAUAAGAAAAAUUGCUCACUAAGAAGGAUUAUUGCGAUUGAACUAUGAAACUUUCAGUAACUUUACAUUGAGCUAUUUGGGUGCAUAGCAAUGGCUUCUAAAUGAAGAUGCAACAUUGAAAAAAAGUAUUAAGAUAUAAUCCAAUUUACCGUGCAACAAAAGCCUACAUUGCUCAUCUGUUAGCAAGACUUGAACCAAAACAAAAUACUUCAAGAGGACAAGGAAGGAGAAUUCUUAAAACUGACCCAUACUCACUAUAUCAGAAUGCAGAUCCACCAUCCUUUGUCUUCCCAAGCAUCACGUCUUUGGCUUCGUUGAUUUUGGAAGCAAGGUAAUGGCUACCUCCAGCAUCAGGAUGAUUUGCUACCAUUACUUUUCUAUGUGCUUCCUUGACCUUAUCUGAUGUUGCAUUCUCCCUGACACCAAGAAUGAGAGCUGCUUCUCUUCUGGUCAUCUUAGGCUGAAAACCACCGUCAUAGAACUUGCGAAUUCUGGGUUUAGGGGGUCGAGCCUUGAAUGCUUGCCAAGCUUGGAUUCCAUACCUACCAGCAAGAGCAGCUGCAGCAACUGCAAGCCCAGCCAAAAAGGGAGUGGCCUGAUAUUUACAUCAUUUUUACUGGAAUUGAAACUUGUGAGAUUGUAUUUGCUUAGGUUUGAAUCGAAAUCUUGCUAAAAAUCUCUCUUCUUUUAGGCUUUGGGAGAUGGGUGUGUAGUUUUGGAUUAAAACAGAAAAAUUGAAUUAGAU
rnacentral:misc_RNA from 1 species